UAUUUGUGCUCUUAUGCAUAGAUUUACAAGCUUAACUCAAUAGAACUUAAUCUUGAUAAAAGAAGUCAUAUCCCUAGAAGAAACCUGUGACUCUAGACAUGUCCACAUAGUAAACUUCACAAAUAACCAAAGAAAAGCAUGGAUGGUACAACAUUGCAGUGGUUCUAAUAUUCAUAGAUUUCAAUGCAGUAAUAUGAAAUGUAAUGUCACUUAGGAUAUGCACUCAUCAAGUCUCUUUAGCAAUGGAAGAAAAUUUGUACUACCAACGCUCAUGCUAGGAGAAUAAAAAGUG
rnacentral:misc_RNA from 1 species